CGUAACGUCGUCCACCAUUGUUUACUUGCCGUAAACCGUCUCAAUGUCGUUAAUGAUAAUUAUGACGUCAUAAGCAGGUGCGUUGCUACUUAGUAUAAAUAGAGAACACAUUAUUGUGUUUCUUCAGUCGUGAAUUGACUCCUGAGGUAAACAGUACACUCGAUAAAAAUCUAUAGCAAACGCUUAAGUCUCAGACUUUCUUUCAUUCACUAUAUACUGAAUAAAGACACACGCUUUUUCAAGAUAAUAUUUAUUAGUAGUGACUCAGUGAAUAUUUUGAAAACAGUCACGAAUUAUUCUUUCGAAAUGAAUAUAAACAAUAUUUGUUUACAGAAAUAAGCGACUCAGUCGAUUUAUAAGUUACAUUAAAUCCAUAUUUGUGAGACGCACUUCUCAAGGUCAAAACAAUGAGUGUGGACAUGCAUUAAUGCUAUUUCGUAAUAAACGAUUCAGUCGGGGGAUAUGCAUACAAAGCCGUAUUUUAUGAUGGUCUCAAUAAUGAGCAUAAACACAUCCAGUAGAUAAAUUAAUAUCAAAUUACAUUUAUCCGUAUUGUACUAAUAUUUUAUGAACCGGAAUACUUGACCAGAGUUAUCCC
rnacentral:lncRNA from 1 species